rnacentral:rRNA from 1 species
CCUACGGGAGGCAGCAGUGAGGAAUAUUGGUCAAUGGGCUUACGCCUGAACCAGCCAAGUCGCGUGAGGGAAGACUGCCAUAUGGGUUGUAAACCUCUUUUGUCAGGGAGCAACGCCGGCUACGUGUAGCCGGACUGAGAGUACCUGAAGAAAAAGCAUCGGCUAACUCCGUGCCAGCAGCCGCGGUAAUACAGAGGAUGCGAGCGUUAUCCGGAUUUAUGGGGUUUAAGGGGUGCGUAGGCGGAAUGCCAAGUCAGCGGUAAAAUCGCGGGGCUCAACCGCGAUCCGCCGUUGAAACUGGCGUUGUUGAGAGGGCGAGAAGUAUGCGGAAUGCGUGGUGUAGCGGUGAAAUGCAUAGAGAUCACGCAGAACUCCGAUUGCGAAGGCAGCAUACCGGCGCACAACUGACGCUGAAGCACGAAAGCGUGGGUAUCGAACAGGAUUAGAUACCCGAGUAGUC